UCACGGCGGAGUGUUCUCA
rnacentral:snRNA from 1 species